AUGGAAGAAGUGGAUCGGACAACUUUGCCUUUACUCCAUCCUAGUCGCCAAAAUGGCGCUAAAUGGUUUGGACACCACACUCAAGUAUCAACAGCUGUGAAGGAGAUCAUUCAAAGUUGUUUUAGAAGACCAUGGUACUCUUGGAAAAGAGUGCCACCCUUCUAUAAACAAACAUGGUUUGAAAUGUUUAAGAGAAAAUUUAACUGGCAUAAUAACAUCAAUGAUCAAGUUGAAAGGGAGUUUAAUAAGCUUGCUGCUUAUCGGCUCAGAUGAAUGAUAAGUCAUGCAAAGAAUCUAGGUGAAAAACCAGAUUGGAUUCUGCUUGAGUAUUGGACUGUUAUGCUAGCUCCUUGGGCAACACCAAAAGCAAAAGCAAACAGUGAGAAGGCGCGAGCUUCUAGAAUGUCUGAUCGAAAUGGUCUAGGCCCACAUUCUCACCUUGGUGGUUCAAGAUCCUGCGCCAAACUUCAAGAUCUUUUGGAAGCAAACAAUGAAGACUAUUCAUUUAUUGCUGUGAUGAAGAAAGUGCAUCAAAAGCCUGAUGGGACUUAUGUUGAUCAGCGAGCAAAAAUGGUUGAAGAAGUUUAUGAGAAGUAUAUACAAGAGCGACUUGAACAACUUGUAGCUGCCGGUGAAGAGAAUGUGACUGCUGAAAGUCUUGGCCAAACUGAAUAAAAUGAAAUUUAUGUCAAGGCUGCUGCAUAUGCUCCUAGGUCUUUUCAACAAAACCACAUCUUUGGACUUGGAGCACUAAGUGGAGUUUUACCAUUUGUUGAAGCUUCUCCAAAUCAAACACAGACUUUGAAGAAACAGGGAUGAUAACUCGGAUGUAGGACUUGGAAGCUGAACUCAAACAGAGCCAUGAAGAAAACCAGCAAAUUCAGAAAAGGCUUGAAACUAUUGAAAAAAUUCUUCAGUCUCUUGCAAAUCAGAAUGCAUAGAGCAAAUUUCACCACUUCUACUACCAAGCAAAUUCACUCCACCACUUCCACUACCAAG